rnacentral:rRNA from 1 species
CGUAUGGGGCGAGCGUUGUCCGGAAUUAUUGGGCGUAAAGGGUACGUAGGCGGUUUUUUAAGUCAGGUGUGAAAGCGUGAGGCUUAACCUCAUUAAGCACUUGAAACUGGAAGACUUGAGUGAAGGAGAGGAAAGUGGAAUUCCUAGUGUAGCGGUGAAAUGCGUAGAUAUUAGGAGGAAUACCGGUGGCGAAGGCGACUUUCUGGACUUUUACUGACGCUCAGGUACGAAAGCGUGGGGGAGCAAACAGGAUU